rnacentral:rRNA from 1 species
GGUCGAGCGGAGAGAAGAAGCUUGCUACUGAUCUUAGCGGCGGACGGGUGAGUAAUACUUAGGAAUCUGGCUAUUAGUGGGGGACAACAUUUCGAAAGGGAUGCUAAUACCGCAUACGUCCUACGGGAGAAAGCAGGGGAUCUUCGGACCUUGCGCUAAUAGAUGAGCCUAAGUCGGAUUAGCUAGUUGGUGGGGUAAAGGCCUACCAAGGCGACGAUCUGUAGCGGGUCUGAGAGGAUGAUCCGCCACACUGGGACUGAGACACGGCCCAGACUCCUACGGGAGGCAGCAGUGGGGAAUAUUGGACAAUGGGGGGAACCCUGAUCCAGCCAUGCCGCGUGUGUGAAGAAGGCCUUAUGGUUGUAAAGCACUUUAAGCGAGGAGGAGGGUACUGGUAUUAAUACUACCAGGUACUGGACGUUACUCGCAGAAUAAGCACCGGCUAACUCUGUGCCAGCAGCCGCGGUAAUACAGAGGGUGCGAGCGUUAAUCGGAUUUACUGGGCGUAAAGCGUGCGUAGGCGGCUAAUUGAGUCGGAUGUGAAAUCCCCGAGCUUAACUUGGGAAUUGCAUUCGAUACUGGUUAGCUAGAGUGUGGGAGAGGAUGGUAGAAUUCCAGGUGUAGCGGUGAAAUGCGUAGAGAUCUGGAGGAAUACCGAUGGCGAAGGCAGCCAUCUGGCCUAACACUGACGCUGAGGUACGAAAGCAUGGGGAGCAAACAGGAUUAGAUACCCUGGUAGUCCAUGCCGUAAACGAUGUCUACUAGCCGUUGGUCUCUUUGAGGGAUUAGUGGCGCAGCUAACGCGAUAAGUAGACCGCCUGGGGAGUACGGUCGCAAGACUAAAACUCAAAUGAAUUGACGGGGGCCCGCACAAGCGGUGGAGCAUGUGGUUUAAUUCGAUGCAACGCGAAGAACCUUACCUGGUCUUGACAUAGUAAGAACUUUCCAGAGAUGGAUUGUGCCUUCGGGAACUUACAUACAGGUGCUGCAUGCUGUCGUCAGCUCGUGUCGUGAGAAUGUGAUAAGUCCCGCAACGAGCGCAACCCUUU